GGUCUUAGGCGACCCCUGUGAAAGGGUCAUUUGACCCCCACAGGUUGGCGACCCACAGGUUGAGAACCGCUGCUGUCCGGCAACCACAGCCACAAUCACAUGACCAGGGGGCGAGGGGCUGCGCUUCCAGGAACCGAAUCUAGACUGUUACCCCUUGUCCCACACGCAGUGACGGGAGCACGACACUCCUCACCACGACGCCACGUACGAACACGCCUCCUGGUGGGCGCCACCCCGACUGGGCAGGACACUAGCGGGGUCGCUCAGCACCUCCAUUUCUUACCCUUUUAGACGCGUGGGUUUUGUAUGACACCAUCACCAGAAAAUGCACCCAUCCCGAGGAAGUAUUUUAUUACUAAAAACAAAAACACAAAAAGCUUCGCGUGAAUUGCACUGGCCGGGACAGCUUCCAGCCGCUGUCCUUCCCUCAGGACCCUCACCCCAGGGAGGGCGGGGUCCCAUCGACCGUCACAUGGCCCCACCCCAGACGCCAUCGCCUGAGCCCUAAGUACGUCCACUGCGUUAGAGGCUAAAUCAGGGUUUGUUCUAAGGAACAACGUUUCACCGUUUCCCUUCCCUAGGGCUCCCCCUCAGGCACCCAUACGUUUCCGCAGGAACCAUCCCGCGCACAAGACACACAAAACUUCCUUCACUUUGCUGUGCGAGAAGACACUGCUUUGCUAUAUUUAAAACGGCUUUUUUACAAGAGGUUUAUGUCUUUGGUAAAUGUUUGUAGUCACCAGGUCACACGAAGCUGUACGCGGUUUGAUCAUGUGAACCGUUUGGCGGCACAAGCUGGACUUUGUUGCCAUCCUUGCGAUGAAAAAUAAGUUAACCUGUUUUCCCUGACGUGUUUUUCUUCCUUAUUCAAUAAACAUGAUAGUGACCUUUUUAUCAAA